AGUCACGCUGUAAACGAUGUCGAUUUGGAGUUUGUUGCCUAGAGUGAUGGGCUCCGAAGCUAACGCGAUAAAUCGACCGCUGGGGAGUACGGCCGCAAGGUUAAAACUCAAAUGAAUUGACGGGGGCCCGCACAAGCGGUGGAGCAUGUGGUUUAAUUCGAUGCAACGCGAAGAACCUUACCUGGUCUUGACAUCCAUAGAAUUCUGCAGAGAUGUGGGAGUGCCUUCGGGAACUAUGAGACAGGUGCUGCAUGGCUGUCGCCAGCUCGUGUUGUGAAAUGUUGGGUUAAGUCCCGCAACGAGCGCAACCCUUAUUCUUUGUUGCCAGCGAUUUGGUCGGGAACUCAAAGGAGACUGCCGUUGAUAAAGCGGAGGAAGGUGGGGACGACGUCAAGUCAUUAUGGCCCUUACGACCAGGGCUACACACGUGCUACAAUGGCGUAUACAAAGGGAAGCGAAGGUGCGAGCUGGAGCGGAUCUCAUAAAGUACGUCUAAGUUCGGAUUGGAGUCUGCAACUCGACUCCAUGAAGUCGGAAUCGCUAGUAAUCGUAGAUCAGAAUGCUACGGUGAAUACGUUCCCGGGCCUUGUACACACCGCCCGUCACACCAUGGGAGUGGGUUGCACCAGAAGUAGAUAGCUUAACCGCGAGGGGGGCGUUUACCACGGUGUGAUUCAUGACUGGGGUGAAGUCGUAACAAGGUAACCA
rnacentral:rRNA from 1 species